AUCCUUCUGGACAUCCUUCAGGAUGACCUUCCAGAAGAAGCCAGGACUGCGAGGGACAAGAUAAGCUGCCAUGGCUGCGAGCACUGAGCCCUUUGCACGAAUUAUGUGCAUUGGGCCUCUAGUAAAAAAUAAAUAGUCAUAGAAGAAAGGACUUU